rnacentral:lncRNA from 1 species
AGUAGUAGAUAUAAGAAAAAUCAUAUUAGAAAAAGUAUUUGAUAAAUAUUAUAUGACUAUAAUAAAUUACAUACCUUGCCUACCUAACUACUCUUACAAAUACUUACCAUGAUAAAUUACAUAUAUCUAGAAUUUUUGAAAAAAGAUAUGAGAAACAUACAGUUAAUAGAAAAACAGAUGAAAGUAAAUUUAGACAAAUACAUGGAAACUAAAGAUAUAAAAUAUAUAGAAUUUCUUAAUGAAAAUAUGCAAAAACUACUAAGGCUAAAACAAA